GAUGACAUGGGGAUGCCUAUCCUCGUGGAGUCGUUGUUGGCUGGCACCAAACAGCACCUGGAGAUACCAGCACCUAAGCCACAGGUAUCGCGCCCGGUGUCUACCAAGCCUCUGCCAAAGGUGGUUCCACGUGUGAUUAUGGUGGGGGAGGUUGUAGUUCCACGGGCCCCCCCUCCUGAGUGGACGUCUGUACAGUUGGGCAGGAAGAGGAACCACUCUGAACAUGAGCAUGGCUCUGGUUCAUCACAGAGAUGAGUGGUUCAUCAUGUGGUAUGCGAUCUUUCAUUUAACCAUGAUAUUUACAUAACAGUGAUAGUUUGUGUGCUUUAUCUAAGAAAAUGACAAGUGUUAGAAAUAAUCUACAUGUCUGUCAACACUCUGCCUUGCGAGAGUGUUUCAUUCAUAUUGUAUAUGGAUUACGCUCGCGUAAUAUCACAUAGGAUUACGCUUGCGCGGGUCCUAGUCCUUUUUUUUGUUAACCAACUGGUCUUUUUGUGUGGGUUGGAGUAGUUCCUUGGGGGUAGUCUAGCUGUUAUUUUAAGUGCAUUCAAUGGCACAAGACAUGUUCCUGAUCAAAUAUGUAAUGUAAUUAAUGUAUGUAAUAAUUUGCAAUAAAAUUGUAUGAUAUUUUACA